rnacentral:lncRNA from 1 species
CUAAUACCUACAGACUUUUACCCUGUUGAUGUCACUGGUCCUGCCUGAAAUAACAAUAGGAAAUCUUUUGGCUUAACUCAGUUCCACAGUUGACUUUAAUGUCGGCCUCGCUUCCUGGCCCAACCCCACUCCUUACCUCCAUCCUCAUUCCCAUCGUGAAAAGAGACUUCAAAGAGCUCCUUCCCGUGCCUGUAUCAUUUCCACUCCGCAAACUGUCAUGGAAGCUGCUACCGUAGUGUCUCUGAACCUCUGGAGCCUUGGAAGAGCUAAGAAGAAAAGCAUAGUGUGCUUAAUUAGAGCGAUGGAUGGAAGGCAAAUGGAAGGCUCCUCCCCUGCCAGGCACC